CCGGGGAGGAAGGGGACGUGCCCUCGGGCUCUGCCCACCGCUCCCAGGCUAAGCCCCGGGGGCGCUGGAAGUCCCGGUCCUUAAUUUUUCAGGGGCGGGGAUAGUGGGCGGGAAGGGAGCGGGCGUGGAGAGGGCUGCCUGCCUGGCCUUUGGGUCUCGGGCCCUCUUUCUUAUGGUAAUGAGGGCCGGGGCGGAGACGUGAAGCCUGCGGCAUCCCCCUCCCUCACCCGCACCGCCAGCUCUGCUAUCCCCCUCCCGCGGCGUCCGCCGAGUGGAUGGGCUUGGGCCUCGGGAGAGCGCUUGCACCGCAGACAAAGCCCGCUGAUCCCAUUUUCGGAGAUCUGCGAGGCCGCGGCUGGGAGAUGGUAAAGAACCUUGGACUGAGGAACCAGGAUCCAGGAGUUGGGAAAGGGUGAAUGCAUGGAGGAUUGAACAGAUUAACAACACAUCUUCUGAAAUUGGGUGCUGGUGCCAUCAGUCGGGCAUCGGAGGAAGAACUGGAGAAUGGGCUGCUCUUGUAACCUGUCUGUCUGUUCCAGGAACCUGGACUGAAGGAAUGAUGGGGCUUUCCAUCAGUGGAGAAAGUACCCACUGUGGACCUGGUGACUCUGGGGCCACCAGUUGGUUUGAGCUUUUCUGUUCUCACUGAAAUGAGAUUACCCUCUAGAGUUUGCCCAGUCUGCCUUCCUCCCCACUAAGCCAAUUAAAGCAGGGAGUUAAUGACCAAAAAAACCUUGGGGAUUUGGUCAGGGAGGAAAACAAAGGGCAGAAUAUUGAGGGGGGAGUGGCAAGGGCAAAGAGCAGGCUGAAGGUGCGGUGGGCAAUAAGACAAGGAUGCAUCAGCCCUUUGGGUGCCUUAGUGCCCCCACUCAGGGUCACACUAUGAUUCCAGACAAACAUCCUCCAUGGCAGAAGAGCCUGGCACAUGGAGGGCAUGGUGUGGUUGAAGUGCUCAGGUGUAUUCACAGGAGCAGGUAUCUGCAGAGCUGGGGGGCGGUGGCAUACCAGGUGCAGAGGAGCUGUGGGGACAAGCAUCUGUUCUUGCUCCUGUGGCUGAGGCCUCCUUUGCUCAGGUUAAUGCCAACCAGGCUGGGCCGCUCCCCUGCCGUGGUGCCCAUCAACACUAUAAAGGCAGAGGCCUAACAAGCUGCUUCCUCUCUGCCCUGUGACAGAAGGGUGUGGAGGGGCCAUAUUGAUCCCCCUGCAGGACCUUGAGGAUGUCUGUCUCUCUCGUCUGUAUGCCUCUUUGUUUUUGUUUUAUUUUGUUUUGUUUUUUAGAUUUUUGAGACAGGGUCUCCCUGUAGCCCCAGCUGGCCUCGAAUGAACUAUGUAGACCAGGCUGGCUUUGA